rnacentral:rRNA from 1 species
CACGUAGGCGGAAUAGUAAGUUAGGGUGAAAUCCCGGGGCUCAACCUCGGAACUGCCCUUGAUACUUCUAACCUCGAGUCCGAGAGAGGUGAGUGGAAUUCCUAGUGUAGAGGUGAAAUUCGUAGAUAUUAGGAAGAACACCAGUGGCGAAGGCGGCUCACUGGCUCGGUACUGACGCUGAGGUGCGAAAGCGUGGGGAGCAAACA